UGGCGGGUCACCCAGCAGCGGCCCCCGGACACCUCUCCCUCCUGGAUGAUGUCCCCUCUCUGGCUCCAGGCCUCAUACUCCUCCUGGCUCAAGUACUCUGCAGCCCUGGGAGAAGCUCUUCUCAGGGUGUCCACUUUACAAACCUGACCCUGCACGCCCCGCUCUGCCCUGCACCUCCAUCCUGAACUAUCUGGACACAGCAGGAGGCACAGUUUCUCGCUCAGGAUCUUCCCAACCACCCUGGGCACAAAGAGCACAGGCCGGGGCUGGGCCGGUCGAUGGGGCCGUACCAGGGUAUAGGGCACCAGGGUGAGGCAGCUCUCGGCCCAGAAGCACGCGCUGGAGCCUGUGGAGGAGAGGAUCCUGCGGAGUUUUGCUCUUAUCGCCCAGGCUGGAGUGCAAUGGUGCCAUCUCAGCUCACUGCCACCUCUGCCUCCCGGGUUCAAGUGAUUCUCCUGCCUCAGCCUCCCGAGUAUCUGGGAUUACAGUGCCUCCUGCCUCCCUGCCAGCACCGAGCCCCUCUUCCAGCCCACCCCAGUGGGGUUCAGGCCCCUACCUGGAGCCUCACCUUGCGGGUGACGGUGCACUGCUGAGUCAUGUCCUGGAUGAGGGCUAUGAGCUGCUGCUGAGCCCUGCAAAGACCAGGAGAGGCCCUGACCCAGCUGCCUCCUGCCAGACAGGCAGCAGAAGCCGUCCACCCUCCUGAGAAGCCCCACGGCCUCCUCCAGGGUCGUGUCCUCCAGGACUGCCUUGAACAAGGGCUCUGUGGCUUCAUAAUCAACCUGAGGGAAAGUCGAGAAGGUCAGUCUCUUUCCCCC
rnacentral:antisense_RNA from 1 species